rnacentral:rRNA from 1 species
CGUCUAUAUACGUAUAGCAUAUCAAUAAGCGGAGGAAAAGAAACUAACAAGGAUUCCCUUAGUAACGGCGAGUGAAGCGGGAAGAGCUCAAAUUUGAAAUCUUCAAGGUUCUACCUUGACGAAUUGUAGUUUAAAGAAGUGUUUUCUGUUAGAUGAGUAGCAAAAGUUCCUUGGAAUGGGACAUCAUAGAGGGUGAGAAUCCCGUAUUUGGUUAUUCAUUCUAGCUUUGUGAUACACUUUCAAAGAGUCGGAUUGUUUGGGAAUGCAGUCCAAAAUGGGUGGUAAAUUUCAUCUAAAGCUAAAUAUUGGCGAGAGACCGAUAGCGAACAAGUACCGUGAGGGAAAGAUGAAAAGAACUUUGAAAAGAGAGUUAAACAGUACGUGAAAUUGUCAAAAGGGAAGCGUUUGACACCAGUGUUGUUUUUCCGAAAAUCAAUUACGAAUGGCUUGAUUUUGUGUUGUAUUGACCUUAUCAGCUUUCUGCACUUUUUUCGAGUCUUUCUUAAUGCACUUUUCGGUUAACAAGUCAACAUCAAUUUCUUUUGUUGUAAGAGAGUAUUCGGAAGGUGGCUUUCUUUUCGGAGAAAGUGUUUAUAGCCCUAUACUUCUACAAUCGGAGAGAUUGAGGUCUGCAGCGUAGAUCCUUCGGGGUUAGAUACAUUUGUGCUAAGUUAUAGCUUUUCAUAGACAACUUGUUGACUAUGUUUAGUCAUGUCGCUUACUCGCUUAGUGCUAUUUUACCUACGCUUAGGAUGUUGACUGAUAUGUAGUCGUA